rnacentral:rRNA from 1 species
AGUGGGGAAUAUUGCACAAUGGGCGCAAGCCUGAUGCAGCCAUGCCGCGUGUAUGAAGAAGGCCUUCGGGUUGUAAAGUACUUUCAGCAGUGAGGAAGGGGAUGUCGUUAAUAGCGGCAUUUCUUGACGUUAGCUGCAGAAGAAGCACCGGCUAACUCCGUGCCAGCAGCCGCGGUAAUACGGAGGGUGCGAGCGUUAAUCGGAAUUACUGGGCGUAAAGCGCAUGCAGGUGGUUUGUUAAGUCAGAUGUGAAAGCCCGGGGCUCAACCUCGGAACUGCAUUUGAAACUGGCAAACUAGAGUACUGUAGAGGGGGGUAGAAUUUCAGGUGUAGCGGUGAAAUGCGUAGAGAUCUGAAGGAAUACCAGUGGCGAAGGCGGCCCCCUGGACAGAUACUGACACUCAGAUGCGAAAGCGUGGGGAGCAAA